GAUGAACGCUAGCGGCAGGCUUAACACAUGCAAGUCGAGGGGUAGAGGUUGCUUGCAACCUUGAGACCGGCGCACGGGUGCGUAACGCGUAUGCAACCUACCUUUUACAGAGGGAUAGCCCAGAGAAAUUUGGAUUAAUACCUCAUAGUAUAUAACCUUCGCAUGUUGGUUAUAUUAAAGUUCCAACGGUAAAAGAUGGGCAUGCGUCCUAUUAGCUAGAUGGUAAGGUAACGGCUUACCAUGGCAACGAUAGGUAGGGGUCCUGAGAGGGAGAUCCCCCAAACUGGGACUGAGACACGGACCAGACUCCUACGGGAGGCAGCAGUGAGGAAUAUUGGACAAUGGGCGCAAGCCUGAUCCAGCCAUGCCGCGUGCAGGAAGAAGCAUCUAUGGUGUGUAAACUGCUUUUGUACAGGAAGAAACACCCCGACGUGUCGGGGCUUGACGGUACUGUAAGAAUAAGGAUCGGCUAACUCCGUGCCAGCCGCCGCAGUAA
rnacentral:rRNA from 1 species